AGCAAUUAGACUAGGGGUGCUCAAGAAGUUGGAUGAAGGAAGGACCAGGUGGAGAAAGAAGGUCCCAUUUCAUCUCAGCACAUGACAAAGAAAGAUGAUGUUGCUAUGUUGUUGAUGUCCAGAAAAUAAAAAGGCUUUUGGCUCUGGUCA